CCUACGGGUGGGCUGCAGUGAGGAAUAUUGGUCAAUGGGCGCGAGCCUGAACCAGCCAAGUCGCGUGAGGGAAGACGGUCCUAUGGAUUGUAAACCUCUUUUGUCGGGGAGCAAAAGACGCCACGCGUGGCGUUCCGAGAGUACCCGAAGAAAAAGCAUCGGCUAACUCCGUGCCAGCAGCCGCGGUAAUCCGUAGGUGGCAAGCGUUAUCCGGAUUUAUUGGGUGUAAAGGGCGUGUAGGCGGGAGCGCAAGUCAGAUGUGAAAACUCAGGGCUCAACCCUGAGCCUGCAUUUGAAACUGUGUUUCUUGAGUGCUGGAGAGGCAAUCGGAAUUCCGUGUGUAGCGGUGAAAUGCGUAGAUAUACGGAGGAACACCAGUGGCGAAGGCGGAUUGCUGGACAGUAACUGACGCUGAGGCGCGAAAGCGUGGGGAGCAAACAGGAUUAGAUACCCUUGUAGUC
rnacentral:rRNA from 1 species